rnacentral:rRNA from 1 species
UACGAAGGGGGCUAGUGUUGCCCGGAAUCACUGGGCGUAAAGCGCACGUAGGCGGCUUGUUAAGUCAGGGGUGAAAUCCUGGAGCUCAACUCCAGAACUGCCUUUGAUACUGGCGAGCUUGAGUUCGGGAGAGGUGAGUGGAACUGCGAGUGUAGAGGUGAAAUUCGUAGAUAUUCGCAAGAACACCAGUGGCGAAGGCGGCUCACUGGCCCGAUACUGACGCUGAGGCACGAAAGCGUGGGGAGCAAACAGG